rnacentral:piRNA from 1 species
UAUCAGCUUUGCCUUAUUUGAACAAUUU